rnacentral:misc_RNA from 1 species
UCCGAGUUGACCCCGGCAGUAUCCCAUGAGUUCCCACCAUUACGUGCUGGCAACAUAGAACGAGGGUUGCGCUCGUUGCGGGACUUAACCCAACAUCUCACGACACGAGCUGACGACAACCAUGCACCACCUGUUUACGAGUGUCCAAAGAGUUGACCAUUUCUGGCCCGUUCUCGUAUAUGUCAAGCCUUGGUAAGGUUCUUCGCGUUGCGUCGAAUUAAGCAACAUGCUCCGCCGCUUGUGCGGGCCCCCGUCAAUUCCUUUGAGUUUUAGUCUUGCGACCGUACUCCCCAGGCGGGGCGCUUAAUGCGUUAGCUGCGACGCAGAAACCGUGGAAGGUGGGGAUGACGUUCGUCUGAC